CGCCCAAUGCUACUGGGUACCAUAAUGCUUGCUAUAAUCGAAGCUAAACCCUAAUCUCUAUUGCUUCCCGUAUUUUUGUUCCGAAGAAAUUUUUGUUUUCGGUUUUGAAUGUUACGAAAUGAAAUAUUGAUUUCACCCAGGGAAGAUUUGUUCUUAAUUUUUGAGAACCAUAAUGCUGGCUAUAGUCAAAGCUAAAUCGUAAUCUCUCUUGCUUCCCACUUUUUUAUUCCGAAUAAUUUUUUGAUUUCGGUUUUGAAUGCAAUGGAAUCGAUUAUUGAUUUCGCCCAGGGAAGAUUAUUGGUAGGUGAUAUAUUGGUAUAGUUUCCUGCAAAUACAUCAUAUAAGGUUGUUGUUUUCUUUAAUUUUACCCUGCAGUGAUUCUUAAUUUGAUGUUUAUUAAUUGUUUCACAAUGCAUUCUUGAAAGAUUUGUUUUAUGGAUAAUGUGUUUCAUUAAUAUUUUUGAUACAGACAUUUUAUAUGGCUCCAAUUCAGAGUAGAGGCAAAGCAUGUUCUGUUGGUCCGAAUAAUAUGGUCAAUGGAAGGUGCUACUUUAGCCACUAUGUCCAAUUUAUUACCACCCUUGUGCAGUCUAUGUCUCGGGAGCAGAAUGAUAGGGUGACCGCAGAAUGAUAGGGUGACCGCAACUCCUUUUGGACAUAUGCUAAGUUUGCCAUAUAUCAAGCAAAGUAGGCCUGUCUUAGACACUUUGCUUUCUUUUUGGGAUGAUGUCAAGGAAGGUUUUUGGUUUGGUAAAGUUUUAGUGCCUUUUUUAGGAAGUGAGUUUGCACUCAUCCUUGGUUUGAGUGCCAUGGGCGAUGAGGUAGAAUUGUAUAAGGAGGGGAGGGUUACUUCUGACCUUAUCACCCGUUUUUUUUAUGGUGAUCACAAAAAGGCCGGUAGGGAUGCAAUAGAAAAUAGAUUACAAUUACUAGUUGGAAAGAGAGGACGACAAGAUGUAGAAGAUUUUACCAAAUUAUGGGUUCUAUACCUCUUUGUGACGAUUCUGUUUCCAACUAUAUACUACAAUGUUCCUAAGGCACUAUAUUCAUAUAUUGAUGAUUUAAUAGUUGGGGUCUUGCCGUUUUUGCUUUUGUUCGCCAGCAGAUACCUAGUAUAUCCGAGAGUGUGAGGAGAAGGAACAUCAGCGGGAAUGAAUCUGGUGGAUAUAUGGAUGGAUGCACGGUGGCUCUGGUGGCAUGGGCUGUUGAGCAUUCGAAUACCCUUUUAGGCAGCCACCGACCACCGUCUAUGUAUCCACAUCUGUUGCAUUGGAGCAACGCCAAAUUUUCUUGCAAGGUGGAUGUGAUCGCCAAAGUUAUGAAGAACUUAAAAAAAAUUUAGGUGAUCGAGAAGCUAGAGCCUAGAGAGAAGGAGUUGCACCUUCUCUCGCGAGGAAGGCCACUAUUAGAAGCUCCGAAAGAGAUAAGUCAAGUAGUGCACAUUUAGAAGUACUUGGCACAGAUUUAUUUCCAUGUGGCACACACCUUUUAUUUUGCGGCACAUACUUAUAACCACUUGGUACACAUUUAAUUCCUUUUAUUGUGUUGUUUUAGUUUCCGUCAUCCAGCCAAAGUGAAUAACCUACAUUGGAAAGCUUAUAGACCCGCUUAAAAGUGGCUGAGAGGUCUUUGUUUUUGAUUGAUAAGAGGGUGUCCAGAAUUGAGAAGGUCCUCCGAGAUAAUGGUCUCUUGGUGGAUGACGAAAAUGUUCAGCAUGAUACAGAUUUUACCGAAGUGAGUGAAGAGCAUAAUACAGUUGAAGCUAAGGACAAAGGUGUAGUGGAGAAAGAUGAGAUUCACAAUAGUGCAGAUGAGGUGGAGGUUAUUUGGCCCACUGAUGUUGAGGGUGAGAAAGAAGGUGGACCCAUUUCCACGAAAUAUGUUUCCUCCUGAUGCUGGCGCGUGAAGUUCGGAGCACGUGAGCGAAAGGCAACAGAGAAAGCAAAGGCCAUAGCACACUUUCCAAAUACUUAUAAAAGGGCAAAAAAGAAACAAAAAAUAGACUCUCUAGGUGAAGGUAGGAUGGCACUAGCAAAUAAAAAGGAGGAUUUGUCCACUCGGUCGAGUAAAUUAUUGGAGCCUAUCACUACUGCACUUAUGGAGCUCCGCAAGUCAAUUCCACUCGACAAAGAAACAUCACCCCCUAUAGAGAGUGGAGACACCAAAGAGUAAACUGAAAGUGGCAAGGAAACAUACCUAUCACGGGAAGGGGGAAGGUGUACUCCCUAUGUACCAUGAAGAAGCUGUUGAUUUCUUCCUUGAAGAAAAUCACAUGGAGCACACCAUUUGGGAGGAUGCAGAUACUUUGAAACCAUCAUGCAAUGGUGAUGCUAUAGUCUAGCUCCUACAUGAUGGGCCACUACGCAGUGAUGUCAUCAAUGUUUACUUUCGUGUCUUGGAGCUUUUGCAUCGAGAAAACACUGAGUGCAUUGAUAACCUAUCUAUAUUCUUGCGCUAUGAAAUACAGGUUCUGAAUCAUCCUUAAAUUUUUAAGAUUGUAUUAAAAAUUAUGUGUAUUCUGACAUAAUAAAUUUUGUAGACUGCCGUGAAUCGAUAUCUAUUGUGCGUUUGUGAGGUAACUGUUGAUGUUACCAAAAGUAUUUUACAGUCCUUGCAGCCUAGUAUUCUCAAAUGGUUAGGGGACAUAGAACUCUGCGAUCUCCAAAACUGUAGAUAUCUAUUCAUUCCAAUGAAUACAUGAUGGUAUUGGUAUUUACUUGUUUUGGACUUGAAGCAGCAGUGUUUUCAAUGCUACAAUUCCAUGUGGAGCUUCAAUGUUGCAAAUGAUACUAUUAAAUUUGCAUCUUUUCUGCGAUAUUGGCUAAGCGACCGCGUGGGAUACCAUAUCCCCGAAACUGUCAUUCAUGAAAUUCGAGAGUGUCCACAGCAGACGCCGGAUAGUCUCGACUGCGGGGUAUACGUGCUCAUGUAUGUAGAGGUACUGACAUGGGGCACUUCGAGACCAUUGCUAGAACAGUUCAAGGAUCCCUCUUUAUACAGGAGCUGGAUUGCAGGCAAUAUUUUGUUGAAUGACCACUGCAGUACAAAUGAUAGUUUCUGGAUAUGGUAUGAGAAGACAUGUACAAAGAGAGAUUAGAGCAGGCAAUGUAUUGAGACAUUAUAUUUUUUUACGUAAUGUAACAUUCAUACAAUUAUGAUGAAUACAUAUGUAUUAUUCAGAUGAUUCACCAAA